ACUGUAGAAAAAGAAAAAAGCUUCACCAAAUACAUUAAAACGGAUGUUUUCUUUGUAGAUUUUAGCACACUUUCAGGAAGAAAGAACGUUUACACAAACCAAUCUUUUGGAUUUUUAAAAUUCCCUAUUUUUUAUUGAAUUGCAGUUAAAAAUAGUAAACAUUUAGAGCAUUUUGAGUUUUUAAUAGUGUCUUAUGUCUGAAAUAUUGAGGAUCGCAGAGCUACUGGCAUCCAACAAAGAAAUCAAACGGAUUUCAGUGAUUGUCUUUCUGUGGGAAACCCAAAGGGAUUUCUUUCACUGGCGGUCCUCUGUGAGCUAAACCGGAUGAGGGGUGAGGCUUUGGGUCAGCGCUUACUGGAUGUGGGAACAUCAUGCAAAUUUGGAAUUACCUGAGGAUUUGCGCCUCAUAAUCCUCCUGCUGUCUCAGUAUUUGCUGCUGGAGGCUGGUGAGGAGGCUCCGGAG